AUACCGGCAGCUCAAGUGAUGACCGAUAUUAUUGGGCCUAAAGCGUCCGUAGCUGGCCGCGUAGGUUCGUCGGGAAAUCCAUCCGCUCAACGGAUGGGCGUCCGGCGAAAACCACGUGGCUUGGGACCGGAAGGCUCGAGGGGUACGUCCGGGGUAGGAGUGAAAUCCCGUAAUCCUGGACGGACCGCCGAUGGCGAAAGCACCUCGAGAAGACGGAUCCGACAGUGAGGGACGAAAGCUGGGGUCUCGAACCGGAUUAGAUACCCGGGUAGUCCCAGCCGUAAACAAUGCCGAUUAGGUGUGGCACCGACUACGAGUCGGUGCUGUGCCGUAGGGAAGCCGAUAAAUUGGCCGCCUGGGAAGUACGUCCGCAAGGAUGAA
rnacentral:rRNA from 2 species